GAUAACCAGCGUCAGGUCCCUGUUUGUUUCUUGUCAGGUCAUAUUUGCUAGAGCACUGACCUCAGAAUGCCUAUCAGGAGAGUCGCCAGGGUGAGAGAGGACAGGGACAGGGAAUAGCCAAUGACAGAGAUGAGCCUGAGGGCUGUCUGCCGAAGCAUUUCUUCCUCCUGGACACACACAAGGAAAUAUGGAGAGAAUAACAAAAACGUCUUUAGCAUUUUCAGCUAUAACACUUGGAGGCUCUGAGGAAUUCUCCCUCCGUCUCCAUCUACCAUUCUCCAAACACUCUCGGUGUGCCCUCCUUGAGGUGUCUGCAGAAAGAAACUCCAGACCACAGCUGCCCCUCUCUUUAUAAAUCAGUGUCAGGACCGGGGGCAAUUGUUUAUAUAAACUCUCCCAAUCUUCAAAUCUGUGUCCGUUUUGCACAUCCACCACCUGUGUCCCAAAGAUUUCCCAAAGAGCAUUCUUUAAUUCGGUGAGGCUCGUCUUGUCAGGACUAUGUCUAAAGCGUCACCCCACAUGUCUUCUGUGUUGUCUGUUAGAGACUAAACCUGCUUCAAAUCCGGUAGCAGACUCUUAAUAAUUAAUUAGCUAUAUAACCGUGGAGAUAAAAGUGAAGUGCUCUGUGAUUUAAUUGUCCUAUUAAUUAUGUUUCUUUGCUACAUUCUUUUUCCCUUGAGAAAAAAAACCCUCUAAUUGGAUUUCCAAAGCGUAGCUGUUCUCCAAGCUUGUCACUAAACUGCCACUUUCAGACAAUGACUUCAGAAGGUGAAACUAUACGAUAUGCAUGUGAGCGAAGGGACCCUCUGUAACCUGAACCAAUUAUGUGACAGGUCUAAUAAAAAGAAUCUGCCACUUGCUGGUAUUUAAAAUGUA